AUGGCGUUGAGCACCCAAACUGGGUCUGCAGGUUCAGCUUUCCCAUGGAAGUACGACGUGUUUUUGAGCUUCAGAGGCGUAGACACCCGUAAGGGCUUCACAGAUUACUUGUAUGACAAGUUGCGGUGGCGAGGAAUCAGGACUUUCAGGGAUGAUCCACACCUUGAAAGAGGCACAACAAUCUCUCCAGAACUCCUCACUGCAAUCAAGCAAUCCAGGUUUGCGAUCGUUGUUCUUUCGCCAGACUAUGCUAGUUCUACUUGGUGCUUGCUUGAACUGUCAAAGAUCUUUGAAUCCAUGGAGGAGAGGGGGACAAUUCUGCCAAUAUUUUAUGAAGUGGAACCUUCUCAUGUGAGACAUCAAAGGGGAAGCUUUGCUGAAGCGUUGGAUAUACAUGAAGAGAAGUUUGGGGAAGGUAAUAAGGAGGUUGAAAGGUGGAGGGAUGCUUUAACCAAAGUGGCCAAUCUCGCUGGAUGGAGUUCAAAGGAUUACAGGUAUGAAACAGAGCUUAUCAGAGACAUUGUGCAAGAACUGUGGAGCAAAGUGCAUCCUAGUCUCACAGUGUCUGGGUCCUCAGAGAAGUUAGUUGGAAUGGAUCAUAAGCUGAAGGAGAUGGAUAUUCUUUUAGAUAAAGAAGCAAAUGAUGUUCGCUUUAUAGGGAUAUGGGGGAUGGGUGGGUUGGGUAAGACAACCCUUGCUAGACUAGUUUAUGAGAAAAUCUCUCAUCAAUUUGAAGUUUCCAUCUUUCUUGCUAAUGUCAGCGAGGUUUCCGCAACUCAGGGUCUUGUUCAUCUACAAAAACAAAUUCUUUCCCAGAUCUUGAAGGAAGAAAAUGUUCAAGUAUGGAAUGUUUAUAGUGGAAUCGCUAUGAUAAAGAGAUGUUUUUGUAAUAAAGUGGUUCUUCUAGUUCUUGACGAUGUGGAUCAACCUGAGCAACUGGAAAACUUGGUGGGAGAAAAAGACUGGUUUGGUUCAAGAAGUAGAAUCAUCAUUACAGCUAGAGAUCGGCAUGUCCUAGCCACACAAGGUGUAGAAAAACCAUAUGAGUUGAAGGGAUUAAACGAAGAUGAAGCUCUUCAGCUCUUUAGUUGGAAAGCUUUUAGGAAAUAUGUGCCUGAAGAAGAUUAUGCAGAACUCUGUAAAAGUUUUGUCAUGUAUGCUGGAGGUCUCCCCUUAGCUCUUAAAACUUUGGGGUCUUACUUGUACCAAAGGAGUCCAGAUGCAUGGAAUUCUGCAUUGGCAAAACUACGGAGUACUCCAAACAAAACAAUUUUCGAUUUGCUAAAAGUGAGUUAUGAUGGACUUGAUGAGACGGAGAAGAAAAUUUUUCUGGACAUCGCAUGUUAUUCUUCGCAAUGUCGAGCAAAGUUUAUUAUUGAACUACUAUAUAGUUUUGACGUUUGCAAUCGUAUUGCAGUAGAUGUUCUUGUUGAGAAAUCUCUCUUAACUAUUUCAUCAGACAAUAAAAUAGGUAUCCAUGAUUUGAUACGAGAAAUGGGAUGUGAAAUUGUUCGCCAAGAGUCUUAUGAAGACGCAGUCGGUUGUGGCUUUGGAAAGACAUUUUUCAUGUAUUCACAAAGAAUACGGGAACAGAAGCCAUUGAAGGCAUAUUCUUACGCUUGGCUGAAUUAGAAGAGGCAGAUUGGAAUCUUGAGGCCUUCUCUAAAAUGCGUAAACUGAAGCUGCUCUACAUUGAUAAUUUAAGGCUUUCUCUUGGCCCCAAAUAUCUUCCUAAUGCCUUGAUAUUUCUGAAUUGGAGUUGGUAUCCUUCAAAAUCUAUCCCACCAGCUUUUCAACCGGAUGACCUUACUGAACUUAGUUUGGUGCAUAGCAAUAUUGAUCACCUCUGGAAUGGAAUAAAAUACUUGAGCAAGUUGAAAUCUAUCGAUCUUAGUUACUCCGUAAACUUGACAAGGACCCCAGAUUUCACAGGUACUCUAAAUCUUGAGAAGUUGGUUCUUGUAGGUUGUACGAGUUUAGUUAAGAUCCAUCCAUCCAUUGCACUGCUCAAGAGACUCAAAAUUUGGAAUUUUAGAGACUGCAAAAGUAUCAAGAGUCUACCGAGUGAAGUGCAUAUGGAGUUUCUUGAAAUUUUUGAUGUAUCUGGCUGCUCAAAGCUGAAAAGGAUUCCAGAAUUUGUGGGGCAAAUGAAAAGAUUAUCAAAGCUCUUUAGGUGGGAGUGCUGUUGAGAAACUGCCUUCAUCAAUUGAGUUAUUGAGUGAGAGUCUGGUGAAGCUUGAUUUGAAUGAAAGUGUUAUAAGAGAGCAGCCAUACUCCCAUUUUCAUAAGCUGCAGAAUCUCAUAGUAUCAUCUUUUGGCUUAUUUCCUAGAAAGCAGAGUCCUCAACCUUUGAUUCAUCUAUUAGCUUCCUUGAAGCAUUUCUCUUGUUUGAGGCAAUUAAAUCUGAACGACUGUAAUCUCUGUGAAGGAGAGAUUCCCAAUGAUCUUGGUUCUCUGUCCUCCUUAGUGUGGUUGGAACUCAGAGGAAACAAUUUUGUUAGCCUUCCUGCAAGCAUUCAUUUGCUUUCUAAGCUUAUACAUAUUAAUGUAAGGGAUUGCAAAAGGCUUCAACAAUUGCCAAAACUUCCGGUAAAUGCCGCCUUACAUGUGAUAGCCGACAAUUGUACUUUGUUACAAGUGUUUCCAGAACCAUCAGAUUUGGGCCCAUCUGUUUGGCUCACUGGCAUCAAUUGCUUGAGUACGGUCGCUUAUCAAGAUGCUAGUUAUUUUUUGUAUUCAGCGCUAAAGCGGUUGCUUGAGGUAACCCCUCAGAACAACUACUGGUUCCGGGUGGCAAUUCCUGGAAGUGAAAUUCCUGUGUGGUUCAGUAAUCAAAGUGUGGGAGACUCGGUGACUGAGAAGGUGGAUGCAAGUAAUAGCAAGUUGAUUGGAUUUGCUGCAUGUGCUCUAAUUGAACCUCAAGAAAAUCCGUCUGCACACCGUGGUGUAGAUCCUGCAGGAAGUGUCUGUCAAUUUAAUCGGUGGCGGAAGAAAAACUAUAAAAAAGUGUGGAGUAUUUCUUUCGAUUUGAGACAAAUUGUUUCAGAUCACCUUUUGUUAGUUGUUACGCCCAUUCGCCAUCGGGAGGACCCAUGCCAUGAAGUUACGUUUGACUUCGAAAUCUUGGGAAGAAACAAUAGAUGCAUGAAGGUAAAGAAAUGUGGGGCCCGUGCAGUGUACCAGCACGACAAGGAAGAGCUGAUCAGUAUAAUGAACCAAUCCAAGAGCAGCAUUUCUGUUCACGAGACUAUGAAUGAACAAGAAGGCUCCAUGGUUAAGGCAGCAACAAGCAGAAGUGGUGGCUCUGACGACGAAUAUAUCUCUGCAGAAGAGUGAAACAUUUUAGAAGACACCGUCUUGCUUUGUCCUUGGUUUAACCAUCCCAGUGCCUCGAGGCAAAAAUGCAAGGCCAACACUACACUGCUGUUCUCACUCUUCAUAACAAAGAAUAGUUAGGGAGACUACAUCUUUAGUUCCCAUGUCAGAUGAUGUUCAGCAGAAUGGAGUGGCGGUCUCUUUUCAUGUCUCAGAUAUAAAAAAUUGGCACUCUAAAGGAGAUUUUCGAGUUUGAACCUUUGUGUACAUCUAGUUGUUGGCUACCAAUCUUUGGUUGUCUCACUGUGAACACGGUUGCAAUGCCUCGUAAGAGAAGAUUUAGGGACGCACUUCCUCUCUGAGUUGUUAAAAAUGAGUGUGAAGGCCCGCACAUGGAAAUGUACCUGCUACGUUGCCUUGGACUAGAAGAUUGAGUUAAUGAACACAAUGGGUAAUUUCAAGAUGGAAAUGCAUUGCUGGAAGAUAAAUAAGAUUCUGGAAAUGCUACAUGGUUAAACUCAGUUACUUCACUGUAUAAAGCUCGGUUUUUGGUUUCAUUUAAUUCACGAAUGUAUUUUGGUAGUGUCAUGGUGUGUUUUAACAUUUGGGAUUUGGUUGUGUUGAUGGUGUUUGGUUUAAGGUUUAAUAGUGUUUUGGUUUUGUAAUGGAUCUCUCCAAAAUACAUGUGAGGAUUAUUUGUUAUGUUUAAAAUUCAAGAAAAAAGGGCAUUGUCUAGUGUACU